GGUUCUAUUUAUAACCCCUUGCCUUUUGAUCACAGCCGUUCAUUUUGUUUUAAUCUGGGCCGUUCGUUUUUGAUUGAAUCUGGGCCGUCCGUGCGUUUGAAUCUGGGCCGUCCGAUCGCGUGAUUGAUCUGGGCCGUCGGAUCGCACCCACGCGGAUCGCCAACGUGGCUCCUUUUGGAGUGACGCGGUCUUGCCACGUGGCAGGCCCUGGUUGGCCGGGACUGCUGACUGGGCCUGCUGACGUGGCUGCUGACGUGGCCGCCCUCCUUUUUUUUUUUUUUUUUUUUUUUUUUUUUUUUUUUACCCUCCUCCUUUCGGGGGGCUACAUAGGGUAUGUUUUAUAUUCAUGACACUUCUGUCAAGGCUCUAAUCGAUAUAGGUUCUACUCACUCUUGUAUUUUUCGUACAUUUACUUGUAAUCUUGAUUUUAUACAAGAACCCUUUAGCAUGAAUAUUAACGGUAGAAACUCCCUCUAGGGAAUUACUAGAGACUCAUUG
rnacentral:lncRNA from 1 species